GGAAACGAAUAUAAAAAAGCUCGUAUAAUUGCAGGAUGAAUCGGCCUGCGAGUCUCUACCCUGCCUCCGCAACGGCAGGACUACGGGCGGUACACAUACGGAC
rnacentral:ncRNA from 2 species